GUGAUAUUCACAAGUUAUGGAAAAACACUGAGCCCCAUCUGCAGAGAGCCAUGCAGACGGUUUACCUCCGAGAGGUGUCCAGCAUGCAAUGGGAGCAGCAGCAGAUGGACAAGAAGGCGGCCACGACCCUCAGAGGUUUAUCAGCACAUGCUCACAUAGAGCUGCCGUAUUAUUCCAAGUUUCUUCUGAUUGCUGCUUACCUGGCUUCCUUUAACUCUGCUCGCACAGAUCGCCGCUUCUUCCUCAAGGUGUAUCGGAGCAUUCUGAUCUUUUCUUUAUUAUCUACAUACUAUCACGAGAUCUUACUGAAUCAUGACUGCACCUUCGUGAAUUAUGUGAUCACUAAAAAAAAGGCUUGUCUUUGCUUCGGAGUCACGGGAAAACAAGAGAGACUAAUUUCUUGAAGAAACAU